UACGUAGGGCGCAAGCGUUGUCCGGAAUUAUUGGGCGUAAAGAGCUCGUAGGCGGUUUGUCGCGUCUGCUGUGAAAACCUAAGGCUCAACCUUGGGCUUGCAGUGGGUACGGGCAGACUAGAGUGCGGUAGGGGGUGACUGGAAUUCCUGGUGUAGCGGUGGAAUGCGCAGAUAUCAGGAGGAACACCGAUGGCGAAGGCAGGUCACUGGGGCCGC
rnacentral:rRNA from 1 species